CAGUAGCCACGGUAAUACAGAGGGUGCAAGCGUUAAUCGGAAUUACUGGGCGUAAAGCGCGCGUAGGUGGUUUGUUAAGUUGGAUGUGAAAUCCCCGGGUUCAACCUGGGAACUGCAUCCAAAACUGGCAAGCUAGAGUAUGGUAGAGGGUGGUGGAAUUUCCUGUGUAGCGGUGAAAUGCGUAGAUAUAGGAAGGAACACCAGUGGCGAAGGCGACCACCUGGACUGAUACUGACACUGAGGUGCGAAAGCGUGGGGAGCAAACAGGAUUAGAUACCCCAGUAGUCCCUGUCUCUUAUAC
rnacentral:rRNA from 1 species